CCUGCCCCUAAAAGACUUACAAGUGUGGCUGCUAUGUCACAUGUGCAUCAGUAGAUGGCAGAGAGACAGGCCAUGUCUUCACUCUGUUCUGAUUUGUGAACAUUUAAAUGAUUGCCAUUCCCUGAAAA